rnacentral:lncRNA from 1 species
ACUUCACCAAGCGGCCGGUCCGAGGGGACAUGGCGGCAACCUCUGCAGCGUCAGUGCUGCUGGCGGGUGCAAGAAACUGGUGGCGACACUGCCUGAGCCCGCUGCUGUUGCCAAGGUGACGAGGCAUAAAGCCGCGGUGGAUCGGUGCGUGGGGGCGCGGGGUGGGUGGUGAAGGGAGAACGAAGCUCGAGCGGAAAGACAGGACCGCGACCGCUUGUCAGGGGAUUCGGCUUCCAGUCCCCCUUCCAGAGGGCGUCCUUCUGCAGCCAGGCCUCUGUCUUCCCCCGCCCCCACACGAGUCUCACUUCAUCACCAUGCUGGAGUGCAGUGGCACUAUCUGAGAUCACUGCAAUCUCCGCCUCUCGGAUUCAAGCGAUUCUCGUGCCUCAGCCUCCCGAGUAGUAGCUGGGAGUACAGGCAUGUGCCACCAUGCCCAGCUAAUUUUUGUAUUUUUGGUACAGACCUGGUUUCGCCUUGUUGGCCAGGCUGGUCUCGAGCUUCUGACCUCAAGUGAUCCGCCUGCCUCGGCCUUCCAAAGUGCUGGGAUUACAGGCGUGAACCACUGAGACUGGUCAGUUAUUGGCUCUUUUUAAAGAUUGUGUUGCUUUCUGCCUCAAUAUUAAUAUGUUGGAAGUUACCAAGAAGUUCAUGACAGAUCUAUUUCAAAUUCUGGUGAAGAAGGAAGAAUUGGCCCUUGAAAGAAUCAGUGUUUUACAAUAAUUUUGAAAGAGGGGGUUGGUGGUGUUUUGCAGGUAGCGACAGAAGGAAGAAAACAUUAUCAGGAGGGAAUUCAGAUAAAGGACAAACCAUAUUUUGACUGCUACUGACUUGUUGAACUGGCAGUCGGGGUCAACUUGGGAAGACAGCUGUGACCAUAAAUAUUAAAGAAGACAAAAGGAUUCUUUGUGACACUGAGACCUUCUGCAGUACCACAGUGGAGGAAAUGCCAGUGUACACAACUGGCCUCAUUUAAUUCCUGGGAGGAGAUAGUUUGGGAUGCAGUGCUUGUUGUUGCUGAGCAGGCGAUCACAGCAUGCACUGUGUUUCUUUCUUUGAGAAUAUUUGAAUCCUGCCUGAAUACUCGUAACAGAUGAGAGACGCAGGUUUUGAUAGCAUAGAUUUACGCUGUCAUUAGUCAUGAGCUCUUGGGACGAAAGUAAUUGGUUUUAUCCUGUUU